GAUGAACGCUGACAGAAUGCUUAACACAUGCAAGUCUACUUGAAUUUGGGUUUUUUAACUUAGAUUUGGGUGGCGGACGGGUGAGUAACGCGUAAAGAACUUGCCUCACAGCUAGGGACAACAUUUGGAAACGAAUGCUAAUACCUGAUAUUAUGAUUAUAAGGCAUCUUAGAAUUAUGAAAGCUAUAUGCGCUGUGAGAGAGCUUUGCGUCCCAUUAGCUAGUUGGAGAGGUAACGGCUCACCAAGGCGAUGAUGGGUAGCCGGCCUGAGAGGGUGAACGGCCACAAGGGGACUGAGACACGGCCCUUACUCCUACGGGAGGCAGCAGUGGGUAAUAUUGGACAAUGGACCAAGAGUCUGAUCCAGCAAUUCUGUGUGCACGAUGACGUUUUUCGGAAUGUAAAGUGCUUUCAGUUGGGAAGAAAAAAAUGACGGUACCAACAGAAGAAGUGACGGCUAAAUACGUG
rnacentral:rRNA from 1 species